rnacentral:rRNA from 1 species
UACGGAGGGUGCGAGCGUUGUCCGGAAUCACUGGGCGUAAAGGGCGCGUAGGUGGCUACUCAAGCGCGCGGUGAAAGCCCGGGGCUCAACCCCGGGUCGGCCGUGCGGACUGGGAGGCUCGAGCACUGUAGGGGCGGGUGGAAUUCCGGGUGUAGCGGUGGAAUGCGCAGAUAUCGGGAAGAACACCCGUGGCGAAGGCGGCUCUCUGGGACGGUACUGACGCUGAGACGCGAAAGCGUGGGGAGCGAACAGG